AAGCGCGUGCUAAGUGGGAAAGGAUGUGGAGUUGCACAGACAACCAGGAGGUUGGCUUAGAAGCAGCCACCCUUGAAAGAGUGCGUAAUAGCUCACUGGUCAAGUGAUUCCGCGCCGACAAUGUAACGGGGCUCAAGCACGCCACCGAAGUUGUGGCAUUGACAUUAGUGGUAGGCCUUCGUGGUCCAGCCGUGUUGAUGGGUAGGAGAGCGUCGUGUGGCGAGUGAAGCGGCGGUGUGAACCAGCCGUGGAUGCCACACGAGUGAGAAUGCAGGCAUGAGUAGCGAAAGACGGGUGAGAAACCCGUCCUCCGGAAGACCAAGGGUUCCAGGGUCAAGCUAAUCUUCCCUGGGUAAGUCGGGACCUAAGGCGAGGCCGACAGGCGUAGUCGAUGGACAACGGGUUGAUAUUCCCGUACCGGCGAAGAACCGCCCAAGACAAUCCAGUAGUGCUAAGUAUCUGAAUCCCUUUGAUGGAUCCCUUCGGGGUGAAGCGUUGGGCCUAGCGUACGACCCCGUGCUGGUGCGUUUAGCGUAUUAACAGGUGUGACGCAGGAAGGUAGCCGAGCCGGGCGAUGGUUGUCCCGGUCUAAGGAUGUAGGGCGAACGAUAGGCAAAUCCGUCGUUCAUAUAGCCUGAGAUCUGAU
rnacentral:rRNA from 1 species